rnacentral:rRNA from 1 species
UACGUAGGGGGCAAGCGUUGUCCGGAAUCAUUGGGCGUAAAGCGCGCGUAGGCGGCCCGGUAAGUCCGCUGUGAAAGUCAAAGGCUCAACCGUUGAAUGCCGGUGGAUACUGUCGGGCUAGAGUCCGGAAGAGGCGAGUGGAAUUCCUGGUGUAGCGGUGGAAUGCGCAGAUAUCAGGAGGAACACCAAUAGCGAAGGCAGCUCGCUGGGACGGUACUGACGCUCAGGCGCGAAAGCGUGGGGAGCAAACAGG